rnacentral:tRNA from 1 species
CAAGACGUAGCUAUAACCUCAAAGCACUCAGCUUACACCUGAGAGAUAUCUACUAAACUAGAUCGUCUUGA